rnacentral:rRNA from 1 species
AAACCAGCACCUCAAGUGGUCAGGAUGAUUAUUGGGCCUAAAGCAUCCGUAGCCUGCUUUGUAAGUUUUCGGUUAAAUCUAUAUGCUCAACAUAUAGGCUGCCGGGAAAACUGCAUCGCUAGGGAGUGGGAGAGGUAGACGGUACUCGAUAGGAAGGGGUAAAAUCCUUUGAUCUAUUGAUGACCACCAGUGGCGAAGGCGGUCUACCAGAACACGUCCGACGGUGAGGGAUGAAAGCUGGGGGAGCAAACCGGAUUAGAUACCCGUGUAGUCC